AAGGCUUCCGGCAGAGGAUGCGUCAGCCUGCUCCUGCAGGGGUCUCUGGAGCUUGACGCACCCCUCAGAGCAUCCAGAAGGCGAGGGAGCCAGGCCUGCACACUCCCUCGCUGCCAGUCUUUGGCUAAGGUUGGCCUUUAUGUGGAAGUAAAUAAAGAUGUUGCAGAGGAGGGGGACCCCAGCCCCCAGCCUCAUCAACAAGCAAAAGGAGUAACUGAGCCACACAUUCAGCUUGUCAGUCAGUCGUCGCUGGAGUGCAGAGGUACCUGUGACACAAAUGUUCUGCUGGAAUGUGGACUGCCUUCCAAACGCGUGCCACGCCUGCCCGCGGGGACCACACUCUCCCUUGCUCGGAUCAUUUGUGAGGUCUGAAACGCGUCCGCGUGAAACACGGACUCCGCACCAUUUGCCUUCCCAUCAGCAUUCCACAGACUUGGUAUGGAUACGGCGAGACAACGGGGCCCUUAGUACUUAGCUGAAAAGUUGGUGCUCUGAGAAGCCACUGCAGGAGAAACGUCCCGGAGAAGUUGAGAGGUUGGCUGCCGGAGGGUCAGCGCGGUGGGAUGUGUGCUGAGAAGGUUGAUGGCAGGACGCCUUGGCUCAUCCGCUCUGCAAGUGUUAAUGGACGUGGACGGUGCUGCAAGCCCCAGGGAGAGGUAGGGCGGCCAGCCAAGGGGUGUUCGCAGUCUGGUUAGGGAGCAAGUUCCUUCCCGACACCCGCUGGAGACUCACAGGCCAGAAGUGGUAAAGCCCUAGACAGGAGACAGAAGGAACUGGAAACAGUGGCGUCAGAGCCCUGAACUUUGUGUAGACCAAGUCAGAUCCAGCCCGCAACAGCUCCUGGGCGAGAAAUGGGUUCCUCUGGGUUCAUCACACCGGAGCACGUUGGAGAGAAGAUCUAGAAGGAGUCCAAGGCCAAGGAGAUGAUUAUUUUUACGGUGUUGGAAAGAAGCAGCGAUUUUUGUGCGUGCGUCUGGGUUGUGUUUUUGUUUUUGUUUAGGGUGUGUGGCUCUAUUUAAUGUCCCAGACUGUUUAAAUGGAUUGCAAAGAAAAAAAAAAAAUCCAAAAAGUAUAUGGCUGUGAUUUAACAAGAUAAUUAGCAGCUGCACUUUAUAACAAAAUCUAAGGCAAUUAUCACUUCAGGAGGACCCAGAGGAGUCCAAACUGCCAACAUCCUGCUUCUCUGCCAGAGAGAAUGACAUCAUAACUGCUCCAGACAAAGGGGAAGUGGGUUCUGGUCACCGUGAUGUCACUUGCUCCAGCAGACAGUCCCAGACAGCUGGAAGACAGGUGGCUGCUUCCUAGGACACGAGGGAGGAGGAUGGGUACCGGAAAUGACAUCAGUCAUUUACAGGCCCAAACCCCACCCCUUGCCCCCCCCCCCCAACCCCCCUGGGCCACCGAGACAGAAACAUGUUUACUUAGAGUUCUCCUCCUCCCUAAGACCUUGCAGUCUUUCCGGGAAGUUGAAUUGUCCCUGUCCUCCUCUCCGGAGUCUCAUUUCUAAAUCUUUAUCCCAACCGAUCAAACUUUUAGUGGCUUAUUGGGUUCUUGCUCAUGGUCAAGUGGACCACUUAGCCAAGAUAUGUCCCUUCGAAGAUGAGGACCGCCACGUUACAAUGGACGGCAAGCCAAAAGAAGCUUAAGAAGAUUUGUGUUUUGGGGGCGCCUGGGUGGCUCAGUUGGUUAAGCAACUGCCUUCGGCUCAGGUCAUGAUCCUGGAGUCCCUGGAUCGAGUCCCGCAUCGGGCUCCCUGCUCAGCAGGGAGUCUGCUUCUCCCUCUGCCCUCCUCCCUCUCGUGCUCUCUGUCUCUCAUUCUCUCUCUC